rnacentral:lncRNA from 1 species
GGGGGGGGGGGUCAUAGUGCACUACACUUCACACAACGAAUAAAGCAAAUGUUUCUCUAUUUAAAGGGUUCUCAAAGACUUAAACAAUUUCAUUAUGUCUAAACUAAUGUAGAAUUUGUUUAAACCAUUUACAAAUGAAUAGGGAGAUACGGCAUGCAUGAACCAAAUGUUCAUAGUGAAUUUAUGUCUUUAGUAGAUUUGUCUCAUUGCGAUUUUAUAUAAAAAAAAAAAUUCUAUACCAAAAAAAAUGAUUUUUAUGCAAGUUUUACUCAGUGAUGACACAGCACAGACACUUUUUUAUGAAAGAAAAUGGCAUUAUGCCUUUUAUAUGCGCAAUGCUAGACGGUGUUGUCGUAGAAGUUAGAAAAAA